UAAAAAUAAAAAUAAAAAUAAAAACUCAGUCCGGAUAAGGAAAGAAUAUCUCUCUCCGAAAUUUGUAAAAAAGAAAAGAAGAAAAAAAAACGAAAAUAGAAGCCAUGGCUGGUAUCACCAGCACUAGCGGCAGCAGCUGCUUCCCACUACUAACCCGUAUCACCGCCACCAAGACGACACCGUAUUUCCUGUCUCUGUCUGCUAUUCGGGCUCCGAUCCCACACUUCUCCCAGCCUCGUCAUCACCUCCCAUUACGGUGUCCACGGUCCUACGGUGACUCGCGGCGGCCGCAGAAGAGUGCUUCUGAUGAAGACCAGGCUCUUGAUAAAUCUAGAAUCAGUUCAGCUACUGUGAGGCUCAUUGAUCAGCAACAGAAUAUGCAAAUUUAGAUAUGAACCGCAAAAGAAAAAGAGAGAACAGCAGAAGAAAAGUGCUGUUACAACAUUGACCAACAUGAUUAUGAUGUGCGUUUAAGAGCUGCUCGGAAUUUUUUGAAAGAUGGUGACAAGGUUAAAGUCAUAGUGAACUUGAAUUGGCGUGAAAAUGAGUUCAGAAAUAUUGCAAUUGAGCUCAUCAGACGUUUCCAAAAUUUUGUUGGAGAGUUACUAAUGAAGUAUUUGAUGUGCUUAUGCCAAAAAAAAAUAACAAUAAUAAUACACGAUACAAGAAGAUUGAUGUGCAAAAUAUUGUGAAACUCCUAACGUCUCAAUAACUGCUUUGAGUGUGAUUGGAUACUUUGUUGUGUUUCAUUCUAUUUAAGUGUUUAAGUUCUGGCAAAGGGUUAAUAAAAUGAAAAAAAACAAAAGAACAGAAAAAUAGCCUGUUUUUUAUGGGAGAUUUUCUAAACCAGGCUGGACUAGAUCUACAUGUCUUAGGCUGACCAAAUUUGAGAGAACAGUGCAAAAUUGCUUAUAAUAAUAGCAGUGAAUAUUAGCUUUUAUACUUUCAAACGGACUCACUGAAGGCCAUUCAGCAACAAUUAACAAUCGUGCUAUUUUUUACCAGUAUUUUCCCUGCAUGUCAUGUGUCUGUUCUCAGUUUUCAUAAUCUUAGAAAUGUUGAUUAUUUCUUCAUUGAAUUUUGCAUUAUAACUUUCAUUUUAUGCUCUGAUUUGCAGCUUGCUACUGAGGAGAGCAAAAACUUCCAUGAUCGGAACAUGUUCAUUAGUCUGGUACCAAAUAAGGCUAUUCUACAGAAAGCUCUGGAACCGCCCAAGAAAAAGGACAAGUCAGCUGCAAAUGAAGUAUCAGCUGGUAUGAGUGCAUGCAAGUUUACAAGGGGUUUUAAUUAUGGAAUACUUGGCAGGUGCUCCCGAUCACAUUUUGUAGGUCACAUACCUAGGCAAGUAGUGUGUUGCUCAAAGGAGACUGGAUAACAAAAAGCUGUAGAAUGUAAUGUAUUUUUGAGAAAGUACAGUCGCGAGACUUCCUCCCAUGAUUGCUGGAUAGGGUGUCAAAAAGUGAAGUCAUGAGAACUUCCUCCCGCAGUUGCUGGAUAUGGUUUUUAAUGGGAGGAUUGUUUGUAGAUGGUGACUUCAUAGACACAUGCAGUCAACUGCUCAAGGUAGUAAUUUGGAGAGACAAUUUUGUUGGGAUUGGAAGCUUUAAUCCCUUGGUAAAAUAAAUUAAAAAACCCGGGAAGAUUAUAUCUUAAAUUUGAAGAGCUUACAGGUUAAAGGAAUGGAAAGAGGGUGACUGGCGGACAAACUUGCUUUCAAGUAAUUGGUACUUCCAAGAUGCUUUUGCCAUUCCAGAGGUUCGAUUAUUCGCAACUGAAGUAGUUACUUGAUUCCAUGCGGUUUGUCUUGGCAUUUGAAGUAGUGGAUGAGGAGUGAGAUAUUAUAGUUGGUUGAAUAAGUGGUCGAUGGAACAGUGUUUGUGAUCUUCAAAAGUUCAUGGGUUUGAGCAGAACAAGGCGAGGAAUGCUUGUGGCAAUUUUGGGCAUUUGGCAGAUAUUGAUGAGGACUGCUCAAGGACAAGGCCAGUAAUUCACUACAAGUGAGCAGAAAGCUGAGGUUAGAGAGUUUCUUUGUUCAAGCUUCUUGCCAACAAGAACAGGGCAUGGCAGCAAAGGUGCGUUGAAGUUGCGAAGAACAAGGGUCGCGAAGAACAAGGGUCCCAUAAAAUGACGAGCUCAGUAAGCAGGCUUAACCAAGCCGGGGUUUGUUUAGUUUUAUGAUCAGUGGAAGUGUUGAGCUUACCCAGACAGGGCAGCCCUUUGUACCCUUCCUUACCAGGAGGAAAAGCUUCUUUUUUGAGUAAAGCUUCAAGUUGGAUACAAGAUGUUGUAGCCGUGUCUUGAUAAGAAUACAAGGUAGGAGAGGCUACACUGUCCAGAUGGAGAAGCUCCAACAUGCCCAACUAACGAUUGGAACAUGACUUGAGUUUAAAGUUCUUGCAUUCUAAGCAUGCUCAUUCACGUGUUUUUCAGCUUGCAUUAACAGUUGACGGGCAGCGGAAGUUUUGAAAGGGAAGGAUUUGAACUGUACCAAGUAUCACCGGUUGGCAGAUAGUAGGGCCUCAGCUAAUGUAUGUAUGUAUGUAUGUAUGCAUGUAUGCAUGUAUGUAUAUGGGAUUCUUAACUAGUAAUUCACUCAUAACAAGAAACUGAAAAGUGAAAUAUCUUGCGCUCCAUGGAAAUCAAAUUCCUAUUUAUGAUUUAACAAAGAA